ensembl:lncRNA
GGAAGAGUUGCAUUUGUAGAGUGUGUUUGUCGCCAUGUCGUCAAAACGCUGUUAUUUUCAUCCCGGAGUCCAAUCACCUUUGUUUGGCCUUCCCAGGGACGCUGUACUUAGAGAUCAAUGGUUACAAUUUAUGUUUAACUCGGUUCCCGAAAAUUAUAAUCCACAUGUAAAACUAUGUGCAGCACAUUUUGCUAAGGACAGCUUCCUCAAUCUCAAUCAGUUUAAUGCCGGAUUCGCACAAAGAUUAUUUUGAAAGAUGGAGCAGUUCCCUCUUUGUCUGGAGAAGGCGUUGUUUAUGGACCACAACCGAGUUCAUCUCAGCAGGGACCACGUUCCCAAGAGCUCCCUGCAACAUCUUCUGUACAUGAAGCUGGAUGUCAGACAGACUCUGCAAACACCGAAACAUUGGCCAUACAGAUAUCAGCAAAGAUGCGAUCAGUGGGCACACAACUUUCUGUUGGUACACUGAGGGAUGUCCACAUAAGAAGCAAAGGCAUUCAGGCAACAGUUUCCAGUCUUUUAUAUAGGAAUGUUGUGCAGGUAAUAUUGUUUAUGGCAUCAAAAUAACGUGAAGUUAUAUUUAUUACGGUCUACUAAUGAUUUGACUUAUUCUUCAAUGAUUGCAGGUUGUAUCUCGCAGCCAUGUACUACAAUGAGAAUGCCCAGCGUCCACAGGCAACAACAACACAAGGAGAGGCUGUUUUCAAAAUCACUUUUCCGAAGUCAAAACAAGGGGAAUGCACAGCCAAGACCCAACAUUUAACUAUGUCGAUGACCUGAUGAGUCUUCUACUACACAAAGUCAUUGUGGACCCAACACCAUAUGUAGAAGAACUACAUCAGAUCACCAUUCCACCUCCCCUGUCAUCAGAGUUUGAAAAACCCUGCAAGAAAGAUGUCAUUGCCCCCCAUGUGUCUCGGUUUAGUCAAGGGGUGGCCGAAAUCCAACGUACUGUCCAGCUGGAUCAG